rnacentral:lncRNA from 1 species
CUGGAAACUCUAGGGACGUGAGUAACCAGUGAUGCCACCUGGGACCACAGUGAGCUCCUGACCUGUACUGCCACUGGGGACCAUGUCUGAGUUUGUGGCCCUGCAGCAGCAGGGAUCUGUUACCACCAAAGGCCAGGUGGACAUCCAUGUUCUAGGCUGCCUCCUGGGGGCAUGUUGAUGUCGAGGGCUAUGCAGAACUGGCCCCACCUUUGCCUGGGAGAGCUGGCUCUGAAGACAUAAGAGUAGAAGAAUUGACUCUCUCCCUAAGCAGCUGCAGUACUCUCAAGAGAGCCCCGCACACUGCAGGGGUUUCAGGUGAGCCAGCCCCAAGGGUAUGAACAUGGGAGAGCUGGUCUUGCCACUGUCUCCUUUGUAGUUACAUGGACGAGGAAGAGAUACUCUUCUCCCGCCUUACCUCUUGUCACCUGCAGCAGGUCAUGAGAGCAGGAGAGCGGCAGCACUCAGGAGAGCAGACCCUGCACUUCGCACCUUGUCUGGAGGGUGCAGUAGAGCUUACCAUGGUGUCAGGUGUAGGUGAGCUGGCCCUGAGGGUGUGAACAUAAAAGAACUGGCUCUACACUUGUGUCUGCUGUGCAGGGUAUUAGUGUGAGCAAGGGAGAGAUGCCCCUCUUUGUCCCUUACUUGACCCUCUGGCCCUGGGUCAUGAGAGCAAGAGAGCUCAUGGCUAUAGCACUAAGUAGAGCUGGCCCCGGUUGCUAGUGUGGGGUGCAGUGGGGUGCCAGUGAGUCAGUGGGCUGACCAGGUCAGGUACCUCUCAGGCCCAGAUCUAGGGCUUUGAAUUGGCUCACCCCAGCAUGUAUCCCAUCAAUGGACUUCUGGAAUGCAUGAAGAGGUGAGUCCUACAAAUCCCAAACUACAGGAUCUCC